rnacentral:ncRNA from 1 species
GAAAGCCCUAUGAUGGGAAACUACCACGUUAGGUUUGGAGAGAGAUGGGACCGGUUAUAGUUUAGGGGGAGCAGAUGCUAGCUUUUUCUUUCCAUAGCCGGCCAAAUAACUACCGGAUCAUCGGUCUACUCUAC